rnacentral:rRNA from 1 species
GAUCCUGGCUCAGGAUGAACGCUAGCUACAGGCUUAACACAUGCAAGUCGAGGGGCAGCAUGGUCUUAGCUUGCUAAGGCCGAUGGCGACCGGCGCACGGGUGAGUAACACGUAUCCAACCUGCCGUCUACUCUUGGACAGCCUUCUGAAAGGAAGAUUAAUACAAGUUGGCAUCAUGAGUCCGCAUGUUCACAUGAUUAAAGGUAUUCCGGUAGACGAUGGGGGAUGGCG